rnacentral:rRNA from 1 species
AUACGGAGGAUGCAAGCGUUAUCCGGAUUUAUUGGGUUUAAAGGGUGCGUAGGCGGAUGAUUAAGCGUGAGGUGAGAUGCCACUGCUCAACAGUGGAACUGCCUCGCGAACUGGUUGUCUUGAAUGCUCCUGCCGUGGGAGGAAUGUGUGGUGUAGCGGUGAAAUGCAUAGAGAUCACACAGAACACCGAUUGCGAAGGCAUCUCACGAAGGGGUGAUUGACGCUGAGGCACGAAAGCGUGGGGAUCAAACAGGAUUAGAUACCCUGGUAGUCCACGCAGUAAACGAUGAUAACUAACCGCUGGGUCGUAGUGAUUCAGUGGCCAAGCGAAAGCGAUAAGUUAUCCACCUGGGGAGUACGACCGCAAGGUUGAAAAUCAAAGGAAUUGACGGG